GGGAAGUGUAGAUCUUCUCAGUGAAAUUAAUGAAGGAACUUUUUCCCCAAGACAGGGAAAGAAGCACCACAGGGAAGAAGCAACUAAUAAAAACAAAGGAAAUCAAAAACCCCAGGGAAAGGAAAAUAAUAGAUCUGCUGAGAAUUACAUGGCUGAGAUGUCCUUAAGGCCCUGAAAAGAAUGGAGACCAUCUGAAAGAGCUGCUGUAAGGAAUAGGAAGGAGCUAUUUAUGGAUGCAGUAAAGGAUCAGGAUCUAACAAAGUGGAAUAUGUGAGUUUAUAGCAGCUGUUUUCACCACUUUUCUUUGAGGUGAUAGCAAAUUAUUCAAAUUUUAAAUUUUCCUGAAAUUAAUAAUAUU
rnacentral:lncRNA from 1 species